rnacentral:rRNA from 1 species
CACGUAGGGCGCGAGCGUUGUCCGGAUUUAUUGGGCGUAAAGAGCUCGUAGGCGGCUCGUUGCGUCAAUCGUGAAAACCCGGGGCUCAACUCCGGGCCUGCAGUCGAUACGGGCUGGCUUGAGUGCGGUAGGGGAGACUGGAAUUCCCAGUGUAGCGGUGAAAUGCGUAGAUAUUGGGAGGAACACCGGUGGCGAAGGCGGCCCCCUGGACCGGUACUGACGCUGAGGCGCGAAAGCGUGGGUAGCAAACGGG